UACAGAGGUCCCAAGCGUUGUUCGGAUUCACUGGGCGUAAAGGGUGCGUAGGUGGCAGGGUAAGUUUGAUGUGAAAUCUCCGGGCUUAACCCGGAAACUGCAUUGAAUACUAUCUUGCUCGAGGUUUGGAGGGGGACUGGAAUUCUCGGUGUAGCAGUGAAAUGCGUAGAUAUCGAGAGGAACACCAGUGGCGAAGGCGAGUCCCUGGACAACACCUGACACUGAGGCACGAAAGCUAGGGGAGCAAACAGG
rnacentral:rRNA from 1 species